AGUGAACGCUGGCGGCAGGCCUAACACAUGCAAGUCGAGCGGCAGCGGGUCCUUCGGGAUGCCGGCGAGCGGCGGACGGGUGAGGAAUACAUCGGAAUCUGCCCUGUCGUGGGGGAUAACCUAGGGAAACUUAGGCUAAUACCGCAUACGACCUACGGGUGAAAGCGGGGGAUCGCAAGACCUCGCGCGACAGGAUGAGCCGAUGUCCGAUUAGCUAGUUGGCGGGGUAAAGGCCCACCAAGGCGACGAUCGGUAGCUGGUCUGAGAGGAUGAUCAGCCACACUGGGACGGAGACACGGCCCAGACUCCUACGGGAGGCAGCAGUGGGGAAUAUUGGACAGUGGGGGCAAGCCUGAUCCAGCCAUGCCGCGUGGGUGAAGAAGGCCUUCGGGUUGUAAAGCCCUUUUGUCCGGGAAGAAAUCGUCUGGGCUAAUACCCCGGGCGGAUGACGGUACCGGAAGAAUAAGCACCGGCUAACUUCGUG
rnacentral:rRNA from 1 species